UUCUGAACUUUGACAGCCCAUGUCUAAAAGGCAUCUUUUUUUUACCUACAGACCAUCUCUGUCAAAAUCCAGCUCUGCCACGUGCUAUUAAAAGACUGGUGGGAACUGACUUCUAUUUUCCAUAUUCAAAAGGAAUCUACUCAGUCAAUUGGAUUACAACCCAUGCUACUACCCAAAGCAAAAGGUGUAAGUUGGAGCUCAGUGAAAAGAGUGGACAUUUUCAACAGAUGGAGUCCAAGAACCAGUAAGGCAUGACAAAGUGUCUGCAGAAUGACUGAUUUCAUGGAAAUGGCUCUUGACAUGAAGAGCAUCAUGUACUGACUUUGAGGUGUAGAGACCUGCUGCUUCUCCUGACCUCCUGUGGACUGGGGCUCGCUGCCUAAGCUGCUCCCCCACUUCAGGACUGAAUGGCCAGAGCUCAGCUCACCUUAUCAGAGAAGACAUUUGUGAAAUGUAAGUAAAGGUUUUCUAUGCUCUUCAUGAGACACUGGAACACUUGUUCUUUGAGAAAGG
rnacentral:lncRNA from 1 species